rnacentral:rRNA from 1 species
GUGAGGAAUAUUGGACAAUGGAGGGAACUCUGAUCCAGCGACGCCGCGUGUAAGACGACGGAACUAAGUUCUGUAAAUCACUGUCGAGAGGGAGCAAAAGAUACUUUUGGGUAUCUGGGAUAGUACCUCUAGAGGAAGGGUCGGCUAACUACGUGCCAGCAGCCGCGGUAAUACGUAGGACCCGAGCGUUGUCCGGAUUUACUGGGUAUAAAGGGUGCGUAGGCUGUCUUGCUUGUCAAAUGUAAAAUACUACAGCUUAACUGUGGAUGUGCGUUUGAAACGGUAAGACUUGAAUAUGAGAGGGGCUGAUAGAAUUCCUGGUGUAGCGGUAAAAUGCGUAGAUAUCAGGAGGAAUACCGGUGGCGAAGGCGGUCAUCUGGCUCAUUAUUGACGCUGAGGCACGAAAGCGUAGGUAGCAAACAGGAUUAGAAACCCCUGUAGUCC